rnacentral:rRNA from 1 species
AACGAACGCUGGCGGCAUGCCUAACACAUGCGAGUCGAACGAGACCUUCGGGUCUAGUGGCGCACGGGUGCGUAACGCGUGGGAACCUGCCCUUAGGUUCGGAAUAACUCCCCGAAAGGGGUGCUAAUACCGGAUAAUGUCUUCGGACCAAAGAUUUAUCGCCUUUGGAUGGGCCCGCGUUGGAUUAGCUAGUUGGUAGGGUAAAAGCCUACCACGGCGACGAUCCAUAGCUGGUCUGAGAGGAUGAUCAGCCACACUGGGACUGAGACACGGCCCAGACUCCUACGGGAGGCAGCAGUGGGGAAUAUUGGACAAUGGGCGAAAGCCUGAUCCAGCAAUGCCGCGUGAGUGAUGAAGGCCUUAGGGUUGUAAAGCUCUUUUACCCGGGAUGAUAAUGACAGUACCGGGAGAAUAAGCACCGGCUAACUCCGUG